rnacentral:rRNA from 1 species
AGUGAACGCUGGCGGUAGGCCUAACACAUGCAAGUCGAACGGCAGCACAGUAAGAGCUUGCUCUUACGGGUGGCGAGUGGCGGACGAGUGAGGAAUACAUCGGAAUCUACUUUUUCGUGGGGGAUAACGUAGGCAAACUUACGCUAAUACCGCAUACGACCUACGGGUGAAAGCAGGGGAUCUUCGGACCUUGCGCGAUUGAAUGAGCCGAUGUCGGAUUAGCUAGUUGGCGGGGUAAAGGCCCACCAAGGCGACGAUCCGUAGCUGGUCUGAGAGGAUGAUCAGCCACACUGGAACUGAGACACGGUCCAGACUCCUACGGGAGGCAGCAGUGGGGAAUAUUGGACAAUGGGCGCAAGCCUGAUCCAGCCAUACCGCGUGGGUGAAGAAGGCCUUCGGGUUGUAAAGCCCUUUUGUUGGGAAAGAAAAGCAGCAGGUUAAUACCCCGCUGUUCUGACGGUACCCAAAGAAUAAGCACCGGCUAACUUCGUG